rnacentral:rRNA from 1 species
UACGUAGGUGGCAAGCGUUGUCCGGAUUUACUGGGCGUAAAGAGCGCGCAGGCGGUCGAUCAAGUCGCGUGUGAAAGCCCCCGGCUCAACCUCGGGCCUGCAGUGGGUACGGGCAGACUAGAGUGCGGUAGGGGAGAUUGGAAUUCCUGGUGUAGCGGUGGAAUGCGCAGAUAUCAGGAGGAACACCAAUGGCGAAGGCAGAUCUCUGGGCCGUAACUGACGCUGAGGAGCGAAAGCAUGGGGAGCGAACAGG